rnacentral:rRNA from 1 species
AACGAACGCUGGCGGCAGGCCUAACACAUGCAAGUCGAGCGCCCCGCAAGGGGAGCGGCGGACGGGUGAGUAACGCGUGGGAACGUGCCCUUUGCUACGGAAUAGCCCCGGGAAACUGGGAGUAAUACCGUAUAAGCCCUACGGGGGAAAGAUUUAUCGGCAAAGGAUCGGCCCGCGUUGGAUUAGGUAGUUGGUGGGGUAAUGGCCUACCAAGCCGACGAUCCAUAGCUGGUUUGAGAGGAUGAUCAGCCACACUGGGACUGAGACACGGCCCAGACUCCUACGGGAGGCAGCAGUGGGGAAUCUUAGACAAUGGGCGCAAGCCUGAUCUAGCCAUGCCGCGUGAGCGAUGAAGGCCUUAGGGUUGUAAAGCUCUUUCGUGGGGGAAGAUAAUGACUGUACCCCAAGAAGAAGCCCCGGCUAACUCCGUGCCAGCAGCCGCGGUAA